GUUAUUUCCCUUGUUUCCAUUAUUUCCGUUAUUUCAGUUAUUUUCUUUACUUUUCUUGGCCUGUCAUCUAAGUUUCUGCUGUAUGUUUCUUUCUCUCUGGAGGUUAUUUCCUUUAUUUCCAUUAUUUCCGUUAUUUCAGUUAUUUCCUUUAUUCUUCUUGGCCUGUCAUCUAAGUUUCUGCUGUAUGUUUCUGUCUUUCGGGAGUUUACUUCCGUUAUUAUUUCUGUUAUUUCCGUUAUUAAUUCCGUUAUUUCCGUAAUUAUUUCUGUUAUUUCCACUGUUCUUCUUGGCCUGUCAUCUAAGUUUCUGCAAUAUGUUUUUGUCUCCCUGGUUGUUAUUUACGUUAUUAUUUCUGUUAUUAUUUCCAUUAUUAUUUCCGGGUUUUUUUGUUGUUGUUAUUUUUGUUGUUGUUUCCGUUUUUUCUUUUUUUUUUUUUCGUUUUUUUCUGUUAUUUCCGUUACACUUCUUGGCCUGUCAUCAAAGUUUCUGCAGUAUGUUUCUGUUUCUUUGGUGUUUGGUUCCGUUAAUCUUGUGCGUUCCGUUGUUUAUUUCCAUUAGUUCUGUAAUUUAUUCCCGUUAUUAUUCCCGUUAUUCUUUCCGUUGUUCUUCUUGGCCUGUCAUCUAUUUUUCUGCAGUCUGUUUCUGUCUCUCUGGUGGUUAGUUCCGUUAGUUCCGUUAUUACCAUUCUUUCCAUUAUUUCCCUUGUUCUUCUUGUCCUGUCAUCUAAGUUUCUGCUUUAUGUUUCUUUCUCUCUGCAGUUUAUUUCCGUUGUUCUUCUUGGGCUGUCAUCUAACUUCCUGCUGUAUGUUUCUGUCUCUCUGGAGGUUAUUUCCGUUGUUUCCGUUGUUUCCGUUCUUUCCGUUAUUUCUGUUAUUUCCAUUGUUCUUCUUGGCCUGUCAUCUAACUUUCUGCUGUAUGUUUCUUUCUUUCUCUCUGCAGUUUAUUUCCGUUAUUUCCAUUAUUUCUGUUAUUUUUGUUGUUCUUCUUGGCCUGUCAUCUAAAUUUCUGCUGUAUGUUUCUGUCUCUAUGGAGGCUGUUUCCGUUAUUUCCGUUAUUUCUUUUAUUUCCAUUGUUCUUCUUGGCCUGUCAUCUAAGUUUCUGCAGUAUUUUUAUGUCUCUCUGCAGGUUGUUUCCGUUGUUUCCAUUGUGUCUGUUAUUUCCGUUGUUCUUCUUGGCCUGUCAUCUAACUUUGUGCUGUAUGUUUCUGUCUCUCUGGAGGUUGUUUCCGUUAUUUCUGUUGUUCUUCUUGGCCUGUUAUCUAAGUUUCUGCAGUAUGUUUCUGUCUGUUGGGAGUUUACUUCCCUUGUUAUUUCUGUUAUUUCCGUUACUAAUUCCGUUAUUUCCGUAAUUAUUUCUGUUAUUUCCAUUGUUCUUCUUGGCCUGUCAUCUAAGUUUCUGCAAUAUGUUUUUGUCUCUCUGGUUGUUAUUUACGUUAUUAUUUCCUUUAUUAUUUCCAUCAUUAUUUUUUUUUCUUGUUGUUGUUGUUGUUGUUUCCGUUUUUUCUUUUUUUUUCCCAUUUUUUUCUGUUAUUUCCGUUACACUUCUUGGCCUGUCAUCGAAGUUUCUGCAGUAUGUUUCUUUCUCUCUGGAGGUUAUUUUCGUUAUUUCCGUUAUUUCCUUUAUUUUCCUUGGUCUGUCAUCUAAGUUUCUGCAGAAUAUUUCUGUGUCUCUGGUGGUUAGUUCCGUUAGUUCCGUGAGUUUCGUUGUUUAUUUCCAUUAUUUCUGUAAUUUAUUUCCUUUAUUAUUUUCGUUAUUCUUUCCGUUAUUCUUCUUGCCUGUCAUCUAAGUUUCUGCAGUAUGUUUCUGUCUCUCUGGAGGUUAUUUCCGUUAUUUCCAUUAUUUCCGUUAUUUCAGUUAUUUUCUUUACUUUUCUUGGCCUGUCAUCUAAGUUUCUGCAGUAUGUUUCUUUCUCUCUGGAGGUUAUUUCCGUUAUUUCCAUUAUUUCCGUUAUUUCAGUUAUUUCCUUUAUUCUUCUUGGCCUGUCAUCUAAGUUUCUGCUGUAUGUUUCUGUAUAUCUGGAGGUUAUUUCCGUUAUUUCCAUUAUUUCCGUUAUUUCAGUUAUUUCCUUUAUUCUUCUUGGCCUGUCAUCUAAGUUUCUGCUGUAUAUUUCUGUCUCUCUGGAGGUUUUUUCCAUUAUUUUCGUUAUUUUGGUUAUUUCUGUAUUUUCGUUAUUUCCGUAAUUAUUUCCGUUAUUUCCGUUGUUCUUCUUGGCCUGUCAUCUAAGUUUCUGCUGUAAGUUUCUGUCUUGCUGGUUAUUAGUUCCUUUUGUUCCGUUAGAUCCGUUAUUUAUUUCCGUUAGUUCUGGAAUUUAUUUCCGUUAGUUCCGUUAUUUAUUUCCAUUACUUUCGUCUUUUAGUUCCCUUAUUUAGUUCCGUUAUUUAAUUCCGUUUUUUCCGUUGUUCUUGGACUGUCAUCUAAGUUUCUGAAGUAUGUUUCUUUCUCUCUGGAGUUUAUUUCCUUUCUUUCCCUUAUAAUUUCCCUUAUUAUUUCCCUUAUUAUUUCCCUUAUUUCCCGUAUUUUUUCCCUUAUUUCACUUAUUCUGUUAUUUCCCUCAUUUCCCUUUUUUCCGUUAUUUCCCUUAUUUCCGUUAUUUACCUUAUUUUCUUUAUUUCCCUUAUUUCUGUUGUUUCUGCUAUUUCUGUUUUUUCCAUUGUUCUUCUUGGCCUGUCAUCUAAGUUUCAGAUGUAUGUUUCUGUCUCUCUGGAGUUUGUUUCCGUUAUUAUUUCCAUUAUUAAUUCAGUAAUUUCCGUAAUUUACUUUAGUUAUUCCCGUUAUUUAUUUCCGUUUUUUCCAUUAUUUAUUUAUGUUAUUUCAGUUAUUUAUUUCCGUUAUUUCUGUAGUUCUUCUUGGCCUGUCAUCUCAGUUUCUGCAGUCUGUUUCUGUCUCUCUGGAGGUUAUUUCCGUUAUUUCCAUUAUUUCCGUUAUUUCUG
rnacentral:lncRNA from 1 species